rnacentral:lncRNA from 1 species
UUUGAGGAGGAUGGGGCCAUACAAGAAAGAAGGGUUUGAAAUGGGAAGAGAAAAUGACUAAAUUGAUGUCGGCUCGGUGGGAGGCAUUAGGAGGAGAUAAUGGGAGACGAGUGGAGGAAAUGAACCAAGCAAAGAAGAAGGGUUGGGUCAUGGAGGGAAGGAAAGUUUUUCUUCUUUCUCUUCUUUUUUUAUUGGGGUUUCAUGGAUGAGAAAAAGAGAGAUAGGAGAUAAGAGAUUUGAGAAGAGGGUGCAUGAGGAGAGUUUAGAGAUGGAGUGGUAAGAAAUAAAGAAGAAAGAGGAAGAUGGAGC